rnacentral:tRNA from 1 species
UGGUCUGUAGCUCAGUUGGUCAGAGCGCUGCACUGGAAUCGCAGGGCUACAAGUUCAAUUCCUGCCAGGGAGCUAA